rnacentral:tRNA from 1 species
UUUAUAAUAAAUGAAGUAUUUGAUUUGCAAUCAAUUUUUAUGGUAACAUUUAUGGUA